rnacentral:rRNA from 1 species
GUGGGGAAUAUUGGACAAUGGGCGCAAGCCUGAUCCAGCCAUGCCGCGUGAGUGAUGAAGGCCUUAGGGUUGUAAAGCUCUUUCAGUGGGGACGAUAAUGACGGUACCCACAGAAGAAGCCCCGGCUAACUCCGUGCCAGCAGCCGCGGUAAUACGGAGGGGGCUAGCGUUGUUCGGAAUUACUGGGCGUAAAGCGCACGUAGGCGGACCAGAAAGUCAGGGGUGAAAUCCCGGGGCUCAACCCCGGAACUGCCUUUGAAACUCCUGGUCUUGAGGUCGAGGGAGGUGAGUGGAAUUCCGAGUGUAGAGGUGAAAUUCGUAGAUAUUCGGAGGAACACCAGUGGCGAAGGCGGCUCACUGGCUCGAUACUGACGCUGAGGUGCGAAAGCGUGGGGAGCAAACAGGAUUAGAUACCCCAGUAGUCC